GCCGUCUCUGUGCAGACACACGGUCAAGGGGAAAAGGGUCCUUCUGAUAGUCUUCAGGGGGGAUGUGUGGGCCAGCCAGUUAUUGGUGUGUUUUUCAGAAUACAGAUUCAGGAGCUUCCGUUGCUCUGUGGAUAUAUGUCAUUUCCUACUGGUAACAUCAACACCCUUUGUCAACAAAGGUCCGUCUAGUCAAGGCUAUGGUUUUUCCAGUGGUCAUGUAUGGAUGUGAGAGUUGGACUAUAAAGAAAGCUGAGUGCCGAAGACUUGAUGCUUUUGAACUGUGGUGUUGGAGAAGACUCUUUAGAGUCCCUUGGACUGCAAGGAGAUCAAACAAAUCUGUCCUAAGGGAGAUCAGUCCUGGGUGUUCAUUGGAAGGACUGAUAUUGAAGCUGAAACUCCAAUACUUUGGCCACCUGAUGUGAAGAGCUGACUCAUUUGAAAAGACCCUGAUGCUGGGAAAGAUUGAAGGCAGGAGGAGAAGGGGACGACAGAGGAUGAGAUGGUUGGAUGGCAUCACUGACUCAGUGGACAUGAGUUUGGGUAAACUCUGGGAGUUGGUGAUGGACAGGGAGGCCUGGCAUGCUGCAGUUCAUGGGGUCACAAAGAGUCAGACACAGCUGAGUGACUGAACUGAACUGAACAUCAACACAUGGGAGAGUGUAAUAGUCAGCUUUGCUGUGAUAAUGCUGUGUAUCAAACAAACCCAAACAUCAGUGGCUUCUAAGAGCAAAGACUUCCUCUUGCUUGAGGACACGUGGGUUGGGUGGCGUCGGGCGGGCUGCAGCACACUAGCCUGCUGCAGUCUGUUGGGCUCACGUCUCCUCCAGGUGUCUUCUCAUCCUGGACCAGAGGUCACUGGGGACAGGUGAGUGAUGGCAGGAGCUGAGCCAAGGAUGAGGUGGCAUCUGAAGCAGCCACUUGCAUCAGUCUGUUUAUAUUCCAUCAACCAAAGUGACUCGUGUGUGCAGAUCCAAAGUCACGGAGAGGGGAAGGGGAUGAAUAUUCUCUGGAGGACAACACAGUCUGCCAGAUUGAAGAUAAGGCUGUAGCAGGUGAAAAAGGAGGUCAGCGGGACCGUGUUUAGUGACCACUUCCAUAUCUGGGUAUCUCCUCUCUUGCUUUGAAAUCAGACAGAACUGGAUUUGAAUCCUGCAAACCUGUGAGUUGUCUACAGGUGAUCCCUGAGCUGUGAUGGAGAGAAAGAACCAGGACAAAAAGCCAAGUCAAGCAGCAGGGGAGGAAGACACCCCAUGAGGGGAGCAGCACAGGCUGGACACGGACAUGCGUUUGGGAUGGUGAAGGCCCAACAGCUCAAGAAGAAAAGCCUGAAGGGGUUGGCAGGGAAGAGGGGGCAUUUGCAUAUGCAUUUAUUUAUUCAGAGAGAAGGGGACGACAGAGGAUGAGAUGGUUGGAUGGCAUCACCGACUCAAUGGACAUGGGUUUGAGUAAAGCUCCGGGAGUUGGCGAUGGACAGGGAAGCCUGGCCUGCUGCAGUCCAUGGGGUCGCAAAGAGUCAAACCUGACUGAGUGACUGAACUGAACUGAGCUUUUUUAAUGGUUUAUGCAAAGAUUCCAGAAGAGAGGAAGAGACUGAGUGCAGAGGAAAGAAGGUCUGCGAACAGGUCUGUGGUCACGUGAAGACGCCAUGAUCUGAUAUUUGACUUCAAAGAUGCCUGUUAACACCUUCACUCUGCUUUGAGCUUGAACUGCAGGCUUGGUGACCAGCAGGUGAAGAGCAGGAUGACUGGAAAGAGGUGGUCAGCAAGGCCUGAAGAGCAUGAAGCAAUAGGAGGGGGCAGGCAUUGAAAGCUGUGAGAAUAGACUGUAGAUACUAGCUGGGACCGUGGGGCUUGGGAUCCCCAGGGCUGGGGUGAUGAGGGGAGCCCUGGACUUGCGUUUGGAAGAACCUGAUGAGAGUCUUUCCUCUUUCACUUACCUGAUAGCUGGUGGGGCAAGUCACAAUGGAUUGGAGUCUGUUUCUUGGCCUGUACAAUGGAGAGAGCUGUGUAAUUUACAGUAUUGUCUGUAGAUUAAACCCUUCCAGUUAAGCAGAAGGUGCCUGCAGGAAACAGACACACUCAGGCUUGUGGGUGGGUUUGGCGUCACAACACUGACAGUUGACAUCCAGGCCACUGGACUUGGGAAAUUCAUUCUGAAGUGUGGUUGAUCCCUUUAGGA